AUUGGAGUUCCCUGCCUCGUCACCGCGUUCCGGUCGCCUGCGCAGCCGCCGGUUUCGAGUACCCUAUCAAAGUAGUCCAUGUCUUCAAGGGCAAGAGGAGGCGUGCGCCGUGGCAGGGGCCGCGGCCGUGGGAGAGCUGAUGUGGCAGAAAAUUACAUGGAUUACCAUGAGACAUCUGUACCUUCUUCUCCAAGUACCAUUUCUGAUAGAGAGGACAAUGGCGAGUUCACUCUGGAACAAGCCCCUGCUUGUUGUGUAGGACCUGUGGAACCUGCAUCUAGCACACUACUCAAUCCUAAGAUUAACCACCGUUCUGAUGCAAUUUUUGGUGAUCAGGCCGUGGAUCAGUUGAAACUGCGCCACCACAAACCAUUGAAAUUUCAUGAGAGAUAUCGUCCUUAUCUGAGGGAUGCAGGACUUCUGGGGCUCUCGCAAAUUUGCCAGAAAAUGCCUCAGUUGGAUAAAGCCUUGAUUACUGCUCUUGUUGAGCGUUGGAGGCCAGAAACCCACAGCUUCCACUUGGCUUCUGGGGAGAUGACAGUUACACUUCAAGAUGUUGCAAUGUUGUUUGCUCUUCCUAUUGACGGCCGCCCGGUUUGUUGUACUACGGAUCAUGAUUAUGGGCAGAUGGUCGUUGAUUGUCUAGGUCACGAUCCUAGAGGUCUAUCAAUGCCUGGGAAGUCCUUUUUGCAUUACAAAUGGCUGAAGAAGCACUUCUAUGAGUUACCAGAAGGGGCUGAUGAUCAGACAGUACAGAGGCAUGUUCGAGCAUAUAUCCUGAGCCUCUUAUGUGGGGUGCUCUUUCCAGACGGGACAGGAAGGAUGAGUCUGAUAUAUCUUCCACUGAUUGCUGAUCUUUCUCUUGUUGGAACAUACAGCUGGGGCUCCGCAGCCCUUGCCUUCCUAUACCGGGCCCUUUGCUCUGUUGCCUCCUCCCACAAUAUCAAGAACAUAGGUGGUUCUUUGCUUCUCUUGCAGCUUUGGAGUUGGGAGCACUCCCAUGUUGGCAGACCAUUGGCUCGGUCUUCCCUAUGCAUGGAGACAGACAUCCCACAAGACUUGCCCCCAAUUGGCUUUCGUUGGGUCGGUGCUCGCGCACAAAGUCAGAAUGCUACUCGCUGUCUUAAGCAGUACAGAGAUGAGCUAAACCUACAGCGAGCAGAUCAGUUGAAAUGGGAGCCGUACAUGCUCAUCGAGUCGUUGAGCUUACCACCACUCUGCACAAAAGAUGCUGACCUUUGGAUUACUCAAGCACCGUUAAUAAAUUUUCCUAUAGUUGAGAUGUAUCUGCCUGAGCGAGUGAUGCGGCAAUUCGGGCUCCGCCAAUGCAUUCCACCACCUUUUCGUCCUACACUGCAGACAUUACAUCGUAUUAGUCGACGUGGUAGAGAGCGUGAGAAUUGGGAAGAGACGCAUCAUGAGUAUAUUCAGGAAUGGGAAGCACGGCGGCAUCGCAUAUUUCGGGAGGCUGAGCAAUAUGAUUUGUCAUCUUACGACGAGUAUCUGCAGUGGUACUCUGGAGCUACACGGAGGUAUCUUGUGCCAUCAACCAGUGAUGAUGCUGAAGCAGGACUUUUAUCUCCACCUGAUGAUUCCUCUGAUCUUCAAUACAAGGCCAAGUCUCCUAUGAUCCGCAAAGCGGUUGAUAAGCUGCAUGGCAUGAUGAAGAAGGCCAAGACAGCCAUGUCAUCCACAGCUGAUACGGCCACACAAGCCUUAGUUUUUGAAUUUCUGCAUGGUUUUGAAGAUGUGCUCCAUGAUCUUGGUGAGAUGAAGGAAAAGAGUGGCCCAGAGGCUUCACCUUUUGGUUCAGCUACUGGUUCACAUGUUGACUCAGCUGCCGCCCACAAUGAGCCUCAACUUUUGCUUGAAGUUGAACAGAACAUUUUAAGUGACAAUCAAGAAGUUCAAUACCAGGAAGAUGAGGACCUUCAUACAGUGGAGCAUGCUAGAUUGACCCUAGAACCUAUGGAUGAGGAAAACCAGUGUUCCAACAAUUUAUUACUUGGUGUGGAUGAAAAUUAUGGCUCAGCUUCAUUAGCCACUGAGAACUGUGAGACAGCAGAUUUUGUCAUUCCACAGCACAAUGAGUAUGUUGAUGAAGCCGGACAUCCUGCCGAAAUGGAUCAUAGUUUACUGCUGAUGGAUUCUAUGCCUCUGAGUGAGGAAAAUAACGGUGUCGACUCUGCGCCCUCUCCUGGACCUUCUUCACCAGCGCUGGCAGCAACAUACGACUCAGCAAUGGAAAAUAUCAACUCAAGCACGCAAGGUGCCGAGCCAUCUUGUCCACAACAGAGUGUUGAUGUCAAACUGGAAGCUGAAGUGAAACAUACGGAUGCGGAGAAGGAUGACAGUUAUAAUGGUUAUUCUUCCUCCAACCAUUAGUUCGUCUGUAUGCAAAGGAGGCAGAUGGCACUGAUUCCGUUCCAGCCGAACCAUUGAUCGAGUUUAGUGUCAUGUAUGUAGUGAUUUGAAUGUAGAUGACAUUUUUUUGGAGAUUCAGUUUGAUUACUACUGCUGGUGUUAUUGGGCUUGUUAUGCAUCCUGAUUCACGGUUGAUUGCCUGCAAGUGCGAGGGCAUGUGACAAAAUGUGGACUAGCAAAACAAAGUUCCCCUCUACUGAGCGCUGCAGUAUGCUUGGAUCGGAUACCGGUCCCUGUAUUUAAUUUCCCUGGGCUAGGAAGAUGCAGGCUGGACUUGAUAAGAAGCACGUACGCAUGUAAUUUCCCUUGGCUAGGAAGAUACAGGCUGGACUUGAUCAAGAAGUACGUACGUCGACGAAGCUAGCAAGAGCUGAGACUGUUGCCAGCACAUGGAUCUCUGAACCCCAGUUCUGGCU